rnacentral:rRNA from 1 species
AGUGAACGCUGGCGGUAGGCCUAACACAUGCAAGUCGAACGGCAGCACAGUAAGAGCUUGCUCUUACGGGUGGCGAGUGGCGGACGGGUGAGGAAUGCAUCGGAAUCUACUUUUUCGUGGGGGAUGACGUAGGGAAACUUACGCUAAUACCGCAUACGACCUACGGGUGAAAGCAGGGGAUCUUCGGACCUUGCGCGAUUGAAUGAGCCGAUGUCGGAUUAGCUAGUUGGCGGGGUAAAGGCCCACCAAGGCGACGAUCCGUAGCUGGUCUGAGAGGAUGAUCAGCCACACUGGAACUGAGACACGGUCCAGACUCCUACGGGAGGCAGCAGUGGGGAAUAUUGGACAAUGGGCGCAAGCCUGAUCCAGCCAUACCGCGUGGGUGAAGAAGGCCUUCGGGUUGUAAAGCCCUUUUGUUGGGAAAGAAAAGCAGCAGGUUAAUACCCCGCUGUUCUGACGGUACCCAAAGAAUAAGCACCGGCUAACUUCGUG